CUACGGGCCGCAGCAGUGGGGAAUAUUGGACAAUGGAGGAAACUCUGAUGCAGCAACGCCGCGUGGAGGAUGACACUUUUCGGAGCGUAAACUCCUUUUAUAUAGGAAGAAGAUGACGGUACUAUAUGAAUAAGCGCCGGCUAACUCCGUGCCAGCAGCCGCGGUAAUACGGAGGGCGCAAGCGUUACUCGGAAUCACUGGGCGUAAAGAGCGUGUAGGCGGAUUAAAAAGUCAGAAGUGAAAUCCUAUAGCUUAACUAUAGAACUGCUUCUGAAACUCUUAAUCUAGAAUAUGGGAGAGGUAGAUGGAAUUUCUGGUGUAGGGGUAAAAUCCGGAGAGAUCAGAAGGAAUACCGAUUGCGAAGGCGAUCUACUAGAACAUUAUUGACGCUGAGACGCGAAAGCGUGGGGAGCAAACAGGAUUAGAUACCCUCGUAGUC
rnacentral:rRNA from 1 species